UACGGAGGGUGCAAGCGUUAAUCGGAAUUACUGGGCGUAAAGCGUGCGCAGGCGGUUUGGUAAGACAGAUGUGAAAUCCCCGGGCUUAACCUGGGAAUUGCAUUUGUGACUGCCCGGCUAGAGUGUGUCAGAGGGGGGUAGAAUUCCACGUGUAGCAGUGAAAUGCGUAGAGAUGUGGAGGAAUACCGAUGGCGAAGGCAGCCCCCCUGGGAUAACACUGACGCUCAUGCACGAAAGCGUGGGGAGCAAACAGG
rnacentral:rRNA from 1 species